rnacentral:rRNA from 1 species
UACGCGCGGAUCUUCCAGAGAUUAGAGUUUGAUCCUGGCUCAGAUUGAACGCUGGCGGCAGGCCUAACACAUGCAAGUCGAACGGUAACAGGAAGCAGCUUGCUGCUUCGCUGACGAGUGGCGGACGGGUGAGUAAUGUCUGGGAAACUGCCUGAUGGAGGGGGAUAACUACUGGAAACGGUAGCUAAUACCGCAUAACGUCGCAAGACCAAAGAGGGGGACCUUAGGGCCUCUUGCCAUCGGAUGUGCCCAGAUGGGAUUAGCUAGUAGGUGGGGUAACGGCUCACCUAGGCGACGAUCCCUAGCUGGUCUGAGAGGAUGACCAGCCACACUGGAACUGAGACACGGUCCAGACUCCUACGGGAGGCAGCAGUGGGGAAUAUUGCACAAUGGGCGCAAGCCUGAUGCAGCCAUGCCGCGUGUAUGAAGAAGGCCUCCGGGUUGUAAAGUACUUUCAGCGGGGAGGAAGGGAGUAAAGUUAAUACCUUUGCUCAUUGACGUUACCCGCAGAAGAAGCACCGGCUAACUCCGUGCCUGCAGCCGCGGUAAUACGGAGG